rnacentral:rRNA from 1 species
AUGCUGGAGGUAUCAGAAGUGCGAAUGCUGACAUAAGUAACGAUAAAGCGGGUGAAAAGCCCGCUCGCCGGAAGACCAAGGGUUCCUGUCCAACGUUAAUCGGGGCAGGGUGAGUCGACCCCUAAGGCGAGGCCGAAAGGCGUAGUCGAUGGGAAACAGGUUAAUAUUCCUGUACUUGGUGUUACUGCGAAGGGGGGACGGAGAAGGCUAUGUUGGCCGGGCGACGGUUGUCCCGGUUUAAGCGUGUAGGCUGGUUUUCCAGGCAAAUCCGGAAAAUCAAGGCUGAGGCGUGAUGACGAGGCACUACGGUGCUGAAGCAACAAAUGCCCUGCUUCCAGGAAAAGCCUCUAAGCAUCAGGUAACAUCAAAUCGUACCCCAAACCGACACAGGUGGUCAGGUAGAGAAUACCAAGGCGCUUGAGAGAACUCGGGUGAAGGAACUAGGCAAAAUGGUGCCGUAACUUCGGGAGAAGGCACGCUGAUAUGUAGGUGAAGUCCCUCGCGGAUGGAGCUGAAAUCAGUCGAAGAUACCAGCUGGCUGCAACUGUUUAUUAAAAACACAGCACUGUGCAAACACGAAAGUGGACGUAUACGGUGUGACGCCUGCCCGGUGCCGGAAGGUUAAUUGAUGGGGUCAGCGCAAGCGAAGCUCUUGAUCGAAGCCCCGGUAAACGGCGGCCGUAACUAUAACGGUCCUAAGGUAGCGAAAUUCCUUGUCGGGUAAGUUCCGACCUGCACGAAUGGCGUAAUGAUGGCCAGGCUGUCUCCACCCGAGACUCAGUGAAAUUGAACUCGCUGUGAAGAUGCAGUGUACCCGCGGCAAGACGGAAAGACCCCGUGAACCUUUACUAUAGCUUGACACUGAACAUUGAGCCUUGAUGUGUAGGAUAGGUGGGAGGCUUAGAAGUGUGGACGCCAGUCUGCAUGGAGCCGACCUUGAAAUACCACCCUUUAAUGUUUGAUGUUCUAACGUUGACCCGUAAUCCGGGUUGCGGACAGUGUCUGGUGGGUAGUUUGACUGGGGCGGUCUCCUCCUAAAGAGUAACGGAGGAGCACGAAGGUUGGCUAAUCCUGGUCGGACAUCAGGAGGUUAGUGCAAUGGCAUAAGCCAGCUUGACUGCGAGCGUGACGGCGCGAGCAGGUGCGAAAGCAGGUCAUAGUGAUCCGGUGGUUCUGAAUGGAAGGGCCAUCGCUCAACGGAUAAAAGGUACUCCGGGGAUAACAGGCUGAUACCGCCCAAGAGUUCAUAUCGACGGCGGUGUUUGGCACCUCGAUGUCGGCUCAUCACAUCCUGGGGCUGAAGUAGGUCCCAAGGGUAUGGCUGUUCGCCAUUUAAAGUGGUACGCGAGCUGGGUUUAGAACGUCGUGAGACAGUUCGGUCCCUAUCUGCCGUGGGCGCUGGAGAACUGAGGGGGGCUGCUCCUAGUACGAGAGGACCGGAGUGGACGCAUCACUGGUGUUCGGGUUGUCAUGCCAAUGGCACUGCCCGGUAGCUAAAUGCGGAAGAGAUAAGUGCUGAAAGCAUCUAAGCACGAAACUUGCCCCGAGAUGAGUUCUCCCUGACUCCUUGAGAGUCCUGAAGGAACGUUGAAGACGACGACGUUGAUAGGCCGGGUGUGUAAGCGCAGCGAUGCGUUGAGCUAACCGGUACUAAUGAACCGUGAGGCUUAACCUUACAACGCCGAAGGUGUUU